rnacentral:rRNA from 10 species
AACUUUCAACAACGGAUCUCUUGGCUCUGGCAUCGAUGAAGAACGCAGCGAAAUGCGAUACGUAAUGUGAAUUGCAGAAUUCAGCGAACCAUCGAAUCUUUGAACGCACAUUGCGCCCGCCAGUAUUCUGGCGGGCAUGCCUGUCCGAGCGUCA